UACGUAGGGGGCAAGCGUUGUCCGGAAUCAUUGGGCGUAAAGAGCGUGUAGGCGGCCUGGUAAGUCCGCCGUCAAAUCCCAGGGCUCAACCCUGGACAGGCGGUGGAAACUACCAAGCUGGAGUACGGUAGGGGCAGAGGGAAUUUCCGGUGGAGCGGUGAAAUGCGUAGAGAUCGGAAAGAACACCAACGGCGAAAGCGACUCUGCUGGGCCGACACUGACACUGAGAGACGAAAGCUAGGGGAGCGAAUGGG
rnacentral:rRNA from 1 species